rnacentral:lncRNA from 1 species
GAAGGAGGGGAUUUGACUGAGUUUGGAGAAAUAAUUACCGACACGUGGUGUGACUAACAUUUGACAAUGGGCGGUCUAGAAGAGCUGUGGAUUCAACUUUAAGUCUUUAACGCAGUGUAUAGAUAUCUAUCAAAUUAUAUGAGUAUCCAGAGAGAUGCAAUAGUUCACAUAUAAAAGCUGAUAUAGAUAUAUUAAGAAUGUAAUCUAACUUUAGAUUUCGCGGCUG